UUUUAAAACCCAAUUAAAGGAUCUGGUCAGCUCCGGUAGAAACACUUACUUCUUCCCGAAGGGUCACCACACUGUCCGUCUUGAGUUUAUAAUGUUUUUCGACUAAUGUCAAGGGGUAAGCCGACUGUCUGUAUUUCUGACUACUAUGUAAACCAAUUGGGACAAGGUUUUCAAUAGACAAAAUUUCCUAACAAAUGUGUUUUUUGUUUUCAGGAGGAUCGAACUCGGGUCUUUACGUUUCACUAUUCACCGAACCUUCCCCUACUACUAAACCACAUAUGCUUGGGCAUGAAGAGAAAAUUUACGACAGAGAUUUUUAAGGAUUUCUAAAGAUGAUAAGGUACGGUGUGAAUAGGUUAAGAAAAACUAACUUAAUAAAAUAAAUGUUUUCUACAGUCCCUUGAUGUGUUCAUA
rnacentral:sRNA from 1 species